AAUAGAUACCCAGGUAGUCCACGCCGUAAACGAUGAGUGCUAAGUGUUAGGGGGUUUCCGCCCCGUUAGUGCUGCAGCUAACGCAUUAAGCACUCCGCCUGGGGAGUACGGUCGCAAGACUGAAACUCAAAGGAAUUGACGGGGGCCCGCACAAGCGGUGGAGCAUGUGGUUUAAUUCGAAGCAACGCGAAGAACCUUACCAGGUCUUGACAUCCCAUUGACCGCUAUGGAGACAUGGCUUUCCCUUCGGGGACAGUGGUGACAGGUGGUGCAUGGUUGUCGUCAGCUCGUGUCGUGAGAUGUUGGGUUAAGUCCCGCAACGAGCGCAACCCUUGUUCUUAGUUGCCAUCAUUUAGUUGGGCACUUUAAGGAGACUGCCGUCGACAAGACGGAGGAAGGUGGGGAUGACGUCAAAUCAUCAUGCCCCUUAUGUCCUGGGCUACACACGUGCUACAAUGGAUGGUACAACGGGCUGCGAACUCGCGAGAGUAAGCGAAUCCCUAAAAACCAUUCUCAGUUCGGGUUGUAGGCUGC
rnacentral:rRNA from 1 species